rfam:Triticum aestivum genome assembly, contig: Triticum_aestivum_CS42_TGACv1_scaffold_577588_7BL
UUUGUACUCCCUCCGUCCCAAAAUUCUUGUCUUAAAUUUGUCUAAAUACGGAUGUAUCUAGUUACAUUUUAGUGUUAGAUACAUCCGUAUCUAAUCAAAUGUAAGACAAGAAUUUUGGGACGGAGGGAAUACUAC